UGAAAACGUUUCCUGUUUCAA
rnacentral:piRNA from 1 species